CAGAUUUGUAUAAGUGUCUAAUUUGGUUGUUUUUUGUGAAAGCUGUUUACAUGAUGCUAUGUGUCUUUACUGCUGUAGGCUCUGAAAUUUUGUACUCCACUGUGGACAUAUGGUACAUACUGGCCAUAAAAUCACCACUAACAUGGAAGCAACCUGUCAGAGAAGAUGGGAUAUGCUAUAGUUCAUUGAUAGAACUGACAAUGCCCUGAAAGAUCGUGAAUGAAGCCCUGGAUGAACCGUGGGAUCUGCGAUCUUCUGAGGGCC